rnacentral:tRNA from 1 species
GCCUGGGUGGCUCAGUCGGUUGAGCGUCCAACUUCGGCUUGGGUCAGGAUUUCACACUCGAGGGUUCGAGCCCUGCAUCGGGUU